rnacentral:misc_RNA from 1 species
AACGCACAUUGCGCCCGCGAGUAUUCUCGCGGGCAUGCCUGUUCGAGCGUCAUUUCAACCAUCAAGCCCCCGGGCUUGCGUUGGGGCCCUGCGGCUGCCGCAGACCCCUAAAACCAGUGGCGGGCUCGCUGUCACACCGAGCGCAGUAGCAAUAUCUCGCUCUGGGCGUGGCGCGGGUGCUUGCCGUAAAACACACCACUUAACAAGGUUGACCUCGGAUCAGGUAGGAAUACCCGCUGAACUUAA